rnacentral:rRNA from 1 species
GACGAACGCUGGCGGCGUGCUUAACACAUGCAAGUCGAACGGAAAGGCCCUGCUUGCCGGGUACUCGAGUGGCGAACGGGUGAGUAACACGUGGGUGAUCUGCCCUGCACUUCGGGAUAAGCUUGGGAAACUGGGUCUAAUACCGGAUAGGACCGCACUUUAGUGUGUGUGGUGGAAAGUUUUUUCGGUGUAGGAUGAGCUCGCGGCCUAUCAGCUUGUUGGUGGGGUAAUGGCCUACCAAGGCGGCGACGGGUAGCCGGCCUGAGAGGGUGUACGGCCACAUUGGGACUGAGAUACGGCCCAGACGCCUACGGGAGGCAGCAGUGGGGAAUAUUGCACAAUGGGCGCAAGCCUGAUGCAGCGACGCCGCGUGGGGGAUGAAGGCCUUCGGGUUGUAAACUCCUUUCGCUAGGGACGAAGCUUUUUGUGACGGUACCUAGAUAAGAAGCACCGGCUAACUACGUG